rnacentral:rRNA from 1 species
AACGAACGCUGGCGGCAUGCCUAACACAUGCAAGUCGAACGAGACCUUCGGGUCUAGUGGCGCACGGGUGCGUAACACGUGGGAAUUUGCCUCGGGGUAUGGAAUAACUCAGGGAAACUUGAGCUAAUACCAUAUAAUGUCUUCGGACCAAAGAUUUAUCGCCCUGAGAUAAGCCCGCGUAGGAUUAGCUAGUUGGUGAGGUAAAGGCUCACCAAGGCGACGAUCCUUAGCUGGUCUGAGAGGAUGAUCAGCCACACUGGGACUGAGACACGGCCCAGACUCCUACGGGAGGCAGCAGUGGGGAAUAUUGGGACAAAUGGGCGAAAGCCUGAUCCAGCAAUGCCGCGUGAGUGAUGAAGG